ACUACGGACCAUGGAUAUCACACUGAAGUGAACACUACUACUGAAUAACCAGUGUUCACCAGCAAGACAACGGGAGAAAUCUCUGCACUAUGAACCUUCUUUUCCACUCAUGUUUUAUGGAGCAGCUCGUGCAAAGACGCACAUUACUAAUAUGUGAAAUGAGAGAAGGAAGCAGAGGUCACACUCCACGUGUGCUUGAGGAUGGUCAGCUAAGGAACGCUGGUGUUUGCACGAUGCAGAGGAGCCACAGAGAAGUCUGUCUGCAUCCACUGUUUCCUUCAGUAACGUAGAUUUCCUCCACAUCAGAAACCUCUCCACGAAGGACAACUUCCAAAAGCCAUUCCUGGCUCUUCUGAUCCUCUGAAGUCAUACCAAAAUGGGGGAUGGUGGGGGGCACUUUGAAGAGGUGUACUUCAAAUGUCAAGAUAUUUUUCAUUCUUUGGAAAUUAUAGAUAUGUGCACAGUGUAUUUUGAUCAUA
rnacentral:lncRNA from 1 species